GCCAAAUGUCAGAAGCUACUGGUUUCAUUCAGAACAUUACAUAAUUUAAAGAAAGGAACAUAAGUACCGUUUUGAUUCGAAAGCUGUCCACUAAACGCACCAAUUUGAGCCAAAAGGUUUCCUUUUUGAUGAAAGCUUAACAAAUAGUACAUAAAAUCCACAUUGGAAGAAAGCCCUGCAGAGAGAUUCUCAAGGACACUCCACAGUCUGGAGCUAACAAUGAAUCCCAAUAACCCCUCUAAGCCACUUGCACCUUUUUCAAACCAAAUUAGUUUAAACUUCCAAUCUUAUCAUAAUGUAAAUUAAUCUCAGUACAUUCAUUCAUAAUCGGAUAAGAAACACAAGAAAUCAGUCUUUCCUCAGUUCCAUUUCUUCUCUACGAAUGCCCUACAGAGAUUUGAGCCAAAAGGUUUCCUUUUUGAUGAAAGCUUAACAAAUAGUACAUAAAAUCCACAUUGGAAGAAAGCCCUGCAGAGAGAUUCUCAAGGACACUCCACAGUCUGGAGCUAACAAUGAAUCCCAAUAACCCCUCUAAGCCACUUGCACCUUUUUCAAACCAAAUUAGUUUAAACUUCCAAUCUUAUCAUAAUGUAAAUUAAUCUCAGUACAUUCAUUCAUAAUCGGAUAAGAAACACAAGAAAUCAGUCUUUCCUCAGUUCCAUUUCUUCUCUACGAAUGCCCUACAGAGAUUUGAGCCAAAAGGUUUCCUUUUUGAUGAAAGCUUAACAAAUAGUACAUAAAAUCCACAUUGGAAGAAAGCCCUGCAGAGAGAUUCUCAAGGACACUCCACAGUCUGGAGCUAACAAUGAAUCCCAAUAACCCCUCUAAGCCACUUACACCUUUUUCAAACCAAAUUAAUUUAAACUCCCAAUCUUAUCAUAAUGUAAAUUAAUCUCAGUACAUUCAUUCAUAAUCGGAUAAGAAACACAAGAAAUCAGUCUUUCCUCAGUUCCAUUUCUUCUCUACGAAUGCCCUACAGAGAUUUGAGCCAAAAGGUUUCCUUUUUGAUGAAAGCUUAACAAAUAGUACAUAAAAUCCACAUUGGAAGAAAGCCCUGCAGAGAGAUUCUCAAGGACACUCCACAGUCUGGAGCUAACAAUGAAUCCCAAUAACCCCUCUAAGCCACUUGCACCUUUUUCAAACCAAAUUAGUUUAAACUUCCAAUCUUAUCAUAAUGUAAAUUAAUCUCAUUACAUUCAUUCAUAAUUGGAUAAGAAACACAAGAAAUCAGUCUUUCCUCAGUUCCAUUUCUUCUCUACGAAUGCCAUCAGCAUUUAAUACAACUAUCUCCAGUUUGUCAC
rnacentral:lncRNA from 1 species